GAGAGCAAGGCGGGAGAGUGAGGGAGAAAUGGCCGGAAAGUGAAGGGGAAAACGAUGGCAGAGCAUGAGGGGGUUUAUCCUGGAAAAAGGAGGUUUUAGAGAUCCCAUUGCUCCCUACAAUUCCCUGGAAAGAGUUGGAAUGAGGCUGGGGGGGAGAUCCCUUCUCCCAAUGGAUAAAACAAGACGAAACAGCCUCGAGGUGCAGCAGGGAAGGUUUAUGCAGGAAAAUUCCUUCAUGAAAAGGGUUGUCCUGCCCUGGCACGGGCACUGCUGUCCUGGAAUUAUCCCAAAAAUAACCUGGAUGUGGCACGUGGGGACACGGUUCGGGGAUUUGAUGAUCCCGAAGGGCUUUUCCAACCUCAACCUUUCCAUGGAAAGGGGACAGAGAUCACCCACAGAUCCCACAGCGAGCGUGGUUGGACAUCAGCUUCCAGGUGAGUUCCUCAUUCCCAUGUGAAUUCCUCACUCACAGGUGAAUUCCUUAUUCCCAGGUGAAUUCCUCACUCCCAGGUGAAUUCCUCACUCCCAGGUGAGUUCCUCACAGGUGAAUUCCUCACUCCCAGCUGAAUUCCUUUUAUUUUUCCUCCUUACUUCCAUAUCCCACAUGUGGUUUUUUUUCCCUCUUUGCUGGGAAUUUGCCUUUUUUCCCGCCAAGGUCACCCCCUGGUCAAACCUUCCUCCCUCCCUCCCUCCUCCUCCUCCUCCUAAUCCCAGGCCGGCUGUUCCUGGCGCUCAUCCCACGGCUCCGUUCCCGGCUCCGGCCGUGCCGGGCGCUCCGACGCCGACCGCUGGCGUGGGCGAUAAUCCACGGCCCGGAAAUCCCGGGCUAACGAGGAACCGGGGAGGGAGCUCCUGCUGGGGUUAAUUAACGAUUCCAUCCUUGAUUGAUUCCGGAAUCAACUCCCCAAAAGGAGAGGGGGAAGGAGGGGAGUGGGAGCCGAGCCAUGGCUGCUCCGGAUGACUCAAAUUCCUGGAAUCGGGAGUAAAUCAUUAAUUGGGGGAGGGAUUAAUUAGGGGAGAAGUGAAGGAGGCUCCAGUCCUGUGGAAAGGGAUCCCAAAUUAUUUAUUGGUGAUUAAAAAUUAAUGAAGGAAUUUGGGUUUUUGGGGUUUUUUGCAGAUUGGAUUGAGGAAAAAAACAUUUCAGGGAUAAAGUGAUAUUUGGGAUAAUUCUGGGGGUAAUUUCAGGGAUAAUAACGAUAAUUUUGGGGAUGAUUUCGAGUGAGGUCUGAGUGGUGCGGGAGGGAGGGAAGAG